rnacentral:misc_RNA from 1 species
GGGAUACUCACAUUCUUGUUCAAAUUUCAAGCUGUUGUUGCUCGUAAUUUAGAGUUUAGCUUGUACAAUGACGUAGAUUCAUGUCUAAUGAAUGAGUAUUUUGAUAAUAUUAGUUUAAAAUGUGUAGCCUGUCCUGUAAAUCAGACAACAGAAGAUCCUUAUACCUGUACCUGCCUCCCGGGAUUCAAGUCUGUUUAUAAUGAGAAAAACGAAUUGAAUUGUGAAGAAUGUCCGUCCUUUUAUGUUGCUUCAAAUGACAGGCUUAGUUGUAUUCCUUGUGAGGCAGAAUCUUAUUAUAAUGCCACUACCAAAGAGUGUGAUCCAUGCACGGACCCAUUUCAAAUUAUGAUAGACAAAGGAAUCAAUGGGACGUAUUUAGACAAUGUGACGUGCUUAGAUUGUUCACCUGAGACCAUUCCAGGACAAGGCAUAUGCAUACCUUGUCACUCAUCAUAUUAUGCAGCCAGUGGGGGCAAAUGUUCAUGUCCCAAAACCCAUGUAGAAAUUAAUGGCAUUUGUGUUCCCCAGACGGAGCUUGCCCAAAUCCCUGACAAGAUAAGCAGUUAUACCGUUCUGUAUGAAGAUGGUAAUAAAAUUCAGUCUUCCUUUUUUGAGACUAAUUUUAGAAUGGCAGCUCAUGCUUGUACUUUUUCUAAAAACUUUUCUUCAUGCCAGCUUUUAAGUAACUUGUGUGUUCUCUUACAUUAUACUUUUGAUGAUGACUAUAAUGCAUGUAGGUAUUACAGAGGAGAGUUUGGAGAUAAUUUUAUUAACCUUCCAAAUCAUGUCCCAUGGUUAUAUUAUACGGAAGGUGAAGCAAAUGUGUAUCUAUCAAAGACCAGAUUAAAAACACAUUAUAGUUUCAAAGAAGAUAAUCCUGAUUCAAAGUUCAAUUUCACUGUGGCAAAAUAUUCACCGGAGGGGCACCUAAUUCAGUAUGGUCGUUUAGAGGAUGUACUAACAGUAUGCCCCUUAAUUAGUUUUGAUCUAGAUGAUGCAAUCAAGUUUGGAACAACUUUUACCAAAAGUUGUUCUAUUUCAGUAAGAGAUCUUUGGGAUAAAUAUGACACUGUAUUUUAUGAUGUGUUUAUACAGUAUUAUGAUGAAGAGGAUCACAUGAUUUAUGCAGUCCCAGUUCUGAAUAGGAAUUAUGUAGAGAAAGGUGAAAAGUUAAAUCAGCAAAGUGAGAAGAAAUGGCAACUCAUGCGUAGAUUUUUUUUGUUUGAUAAUCUAAGUGGUAGGGAGAGUCUGUCUCCAAACACACCAGAUACGAUGGAAAGAGCAAAAGUAGUAAGAUAUGCUCAGAGCAUUGAAAUAGUUAUCAGACUAAGGGAAGGGGAAGGACAUGGCCUGAUUUUUCCGCCACUGAUAAAGAUAACAUAUGGAGAAGUUAGUGACGACCAAUAUGAAUCGAACACAAUGGUGGAAACUAGUUUUAGGGUUUUAUAUACUAUGGACUUUUCAAAGAUCACAGAUGAUUUGUCUAUCUCUAUAGGUGUAAUGAGUGCCUUUGCAAUGCUGUGGUCAAUGAUUACUACAUGGAGUUGGUCUCGUAGGUGUGGGAAACUUAGUAUUGAUCUCCCAACCAUUUUUCAUCUCAUUCUCACAACCUGUGGAAAUCUUGCCAAUGUCUUCUUUCUGGUCAUGUUCUUUUCUUGCCUAUAUUGGACUAUUUUCUUUAAGCGGCAAGAUGUUGUGUACUUGUUUUUGUUAACUGAUUCUCAAGAGGGGCUCAUCAAGCAAUAUUUAAUUGCUGCUUGUUUCUUGAAGUUGGCACAAAUCAUUCAGAUCUUAUAUGUCCAAGUGACACUUGAUAUGUUCAUCAUUGACUGGGAGCAGCCAAGAGCAAAGAAUUCCCUCCCACAUCCCCAGUUAUCUAAUAGUCUUGAUGAGGAAGAUAAAUCAAAAUCAGAACAGCCAAUUAGUAUAUGGAGGACAUAUUUCAUUACAAAUGAGUGGAAUGAGCUUCAAACUCACAGGAAGAUAAAUGUUGGAUAUCAGUUAUUCUUUACUCUGUUAUUCCUGAAUGUAAUUGGCUUUGAAAAUCUCUCAAGUGCAGAUCCAAGAAGUAACUUCCAAAUGAGUGAUACAGAAUAUAACCCUCCACAAAGUUAUGUAUGUAGAUUUGCUAUUAGUAUCACUGUUUUUGUUGUUAUUGCUGUUGUACAGUGGUUUUUCAAAACAGUUUUUUAUGAGCGGUGUGUGGAGAAUAAGAUCCAGCAAUUUGUUGACUUGUGUUCCAUAGCUAAUAUUAGUAUUUUUAUACUGAAACACACUGUUUAUGGGUAUUAUAUUCAUGGUCGUUCUGUACAUGGUUAUGCUGAUGUAGACAUGCAUUCCUUUUAUGAGCAACUAAAGAGGGAGGAAGAAGACCUUUGUGGACACCGGGGCCUUGAGCCAUCUAGUGAAUGCCAAAUAUUUGAAGUUGCUAUAACACACAAGUUCAGAGAACAGUAUGACACAAUAUUACGGCCUGUACAUGGAUUUGUGGGUAUGCGAAGACCAAGUAAUAGGGGAAGGAUGGCAUCAGCAGAGAUGGAGCAGAGUUUCAAAGCACAUGAAACAAUGAAAAGAUUCUUUGGCAUGUUUCUUCAACAUGCAUUGAAAGACUUGAAUUAUAUUGUUAAAGAAAAAUUAUUUUUGGAGAGUCUUCUGGAUCUUGAGUUUCAAGAGCCAGAUGAUAGGUGUUUGUUCUUCCGGGACAAUAACCAUGCCUUUGAAAGUGUCUUAUUAUCUGGCCAUGAAGUAUCUUUUGUCUUGUUUGAGAUAUUACUAUUUACUUUUGUUGAUUUGUUAGCUGAAAACUUUGUAUUGGCUAGUUUUGUAACCUUUGUUGUUUCAUACACUAUCAAGAAAGUAAGAUAUGCAUUUGGACGAAAAAAUGUAGUCAGUAAAACUUUAGUAGACCAAAGGUUCUUGAUAUAACUUUUAUUCUUGUUAUUUUUAAUAGAAACUAAACUGUUAAAGAAGAACUGCAUCUUUUAACACUGAGUAUAGCUUUUUUAUUUGAUUUAUAUCAGGUCAUAUGACUAGAAAGUCCAUUCAUCUUGGUGGGUAUCAAAUUAUAUUUUUGUUUCAACAACAGGGUUAAAAGCCCACCUGCAGACUGUAACAUAUUAUUUACCAGUGUUUGUAAAAGAUUGAGUUUCUUGCUUCUUAAUUUGUUUAGUUUUCUUCUUAUUUAUUUAUUUGCUUAUUUAUUGAUAUGUGUAAAAUAAUAGAAUAUAAGGUAUAUGAAACUGCCAUUUGAGGCUGUGUGUUGAAGAUAAGAAAUUUAAGUAAUUUUGAAGCAGUUGAACUUUGUAAGCCCACAGUCAGUAGGAACACUGCCUUACCAGUUCUGUGAAUGCUGAAUGCUAUUUUAUGCAAAGAUUUGAGUUGAUCUAUGAGUUGCAUUAACAGGACGUGGAGUUCUAUGUGUAUGAGCCAAAGAGUAUUUUAUUGACUGAAAUCCUGUUUGAAGUCAGGCUUUUAAUUGUGUGAAAAAAUUGCAUUUUAUUACCUUUGUAUUUGAUAUUGUAUCAUGCUGUUGCAUCUCCCUUACCUUAUCUUAUGUAAAUACUAUACAUUAAUGAGUAAAUAGUGACAGACUCCAAAUUUGUAAGGCUUUUUUUUCUGCAGUGAAAAUAUGAACUUUAUCAACUUUAGUAAGUUGGUAUCACAUAUGGUCCGGAGAACAUUUGAUGAAAAUUAUUUUGUGAGAUUUAGAGAACGUAUUUAAGAAUACAUAAAGCUACAUUUUGCCACAACCUUUAAAUGACAAAUAAUGGCUGCAAUGGACAAGAACCUGUCUCAUGAAAUUCCCCCAGAAUUUGCAGCCAUUACUUCAGCAACUGCCACUUAUUACAAAGUUGGAAGUUCAUUAGAUCAACUUCAUAAUGAAGAAGUAGUGAAGAAGCACAUGCUCCUUGUAACAUCACGGGGACAUCUUAUUGAGCUUCAGGCAGGCAAAAUAGUGCAUUUUUCAGAACUGCCAUGGAAAGAUGCAGCCAAAGUAGAUUGUGGUCCAUCACCAGUUUCAGCCAUUGCUGUUAUAUGUUAUUGUGCUCCGUAGAUGUCAAAAAGCUGUUCUUAUAUCAUAUAGUGACCUUAAGAUAAUUCAUGAAUGGGAUGAUGUGGAGGAUAUCAGUUCCUCAGACC